UUUAUAUUCUAAGCAGAAAUCGAGAGAAACAACUUUGUAUUAUAAUAAAACAAUAAAUCACACAGAAAGACAUUUUGAAAGCGUGCAUGUACAAAAACACUGCAACCGGUCGAAAACAGUUUUGUUUCUGAAUUUAAAUUGUGUGUGUGUGUGUGUGUGUGUGUGUGUGUGUGUGUGUGUGUGUGUGUGUGUGUGUGUGUGUGUGUGUGUGUGUGUGUGUGUGUGUGGGGGGGGGGGC